GACGAACGCGGCGGCGUGCUUAACACAUGCAAGUCGAACGAAGAGCGAUGGAAGCUUGCUUCUAUCAAUCUUAGUGGCGAACGGGUGAGUAACGCGUAAUCAACCUGCCCUUCAGAGGGGGACAACAGUUGGAAACGACUGCUAAUACCGCAUAGAUCUAAUCUCGGCAUCGAGGAUGGAUGAAAGGUGGCCUCUAUUUAUAAGCUAUCACUGAAGGAGGGGAUUGCGUCUGAUUAGCUAGUUGGAGGGGUAACGGCCCACCAAGGCGAUGAUCAGUAGCCGGUCUGAGAGGAUGAACGGCCACAUUGGGACUGAGACACGGCCCCAGACUCCUACGGGAGGCAGCAGUGGGGAAUCUUCCGCAAUGGACGAAAGUCUGACGGAGCAACGCCGCGUGAGUGAAGACGGCCUUCGGGUUGUAAAGCUUCUGUUAAU
rnacentral:rRNA from 1 species